AUGAUUUCAGCAAGAUUUCUUAGCCUCUUUCUUCUUUCUUUAGCCUUUAUAUACUCCAAGACUUGUGAUGUAGCCGUUGCUAGGGUUUUGUCCGUUGGAGUGGCAAUCUUGAAAAAUCAGACUGCUAGGCUGCACGAGGUAGGUGGCGGACAGACUGAGACUUGUACGAUGUUGUACUAUGAUAGCGACCUGUCCUUUCACCAGUUGACUUGAGAUCUGAAGGCUUCAGAUGAACGUUGGUGAAGCUUCUGAUCCUCGUCAGGUUAAAGCUUGGAUUCUUCUGACCUUGCAACUUCUGCUUCUGAACAAGUUCCUCAGAACUUCUGAACGUCAGAGCUAGAAUAGCUUGGGUCUUCAGAACCAACUUCUUGCAGGUCUUCAGAACUUGAGUCUUCUACUUCUGAACCGUUCCACUGGAACAUCUGGUCUUCAGAACUUCUGACUCUGGUUCUUCAGAACCUCUUGAGAGCUUGUAUCUUCAGAACUUCUGAAGGAUUUGCCACUGUCUUGCACGCGUGUCUUCCCCUCUGAAACUCAAGAACACAUCGUGGAUUCUCCCUAUGGGUCCCGUUAAGAACUGCUCCCAAUCUGGAGGUCGAGGAAGCCAAGCUGGAGAAGGAGAAGGAGAAGGAGGAGGAGAUGGAUCCAAAUCGAACAGUGAAUAGCUCUGAUGGGCAUGGGCUAAUGGGUAAGCCGCCAUGGAUGAGAAAUGACAAUGAAACGCCGCGGGAAGAAAUAUAAAAUAGGUCCAUUUCUCAUUUUGUCCACCAUGCA
rnacentral:lncRNA from 1 species